rnacentral:lncRNA from 1 species
UGGCAAAAUUUGAGGGUACUUUGCUAUUUUGCAUGACAUGACGACAGCCAUUACAAUAGGGUUAUAAAUGCCACUAAAAAUGCAAAUAAACAAGUCUUAAGUCGAAAUAACAAUUUGUCCGCAAAUAGGUGAAUUGUACAUGUUUUGCCUUCUGUUUCUGUACAAAUAAACAUAGUCAACUUUCAAAACUGUCGGCCUUUUCAUUUUGAAAAUCGGAAGCGUAAACGUAAUAUAAAAUAACAAAAUAUCGUAAAAAG